GAUGAAGAACGUAGCGAACUGCGAUAAGUAAUGUGAAUUGCAGAAUUCAGUGAAUCAUCGAGUCUUUGAACGCACAUUGCGCCCCCUGGCAUUCCGGGGGGCAUGCCUGUCCGAGCGUCAUUGCUGCCCUUCAAGCCCGGCUUGUGUGUUGGGUCGUCGUCCCCCCCGGGGGACGGGCCCGAAAGGCAGCGGCGGCACCGCGUCCGGUCCUCGAGCGUAUGGGGCUUUGUCACCCGCUCGAUUAGGGCCGGCCGGGCGCCAGCCGGCGUCUCCAACCUUCUAUGUUACCAGGUUGACCUCGGAUCAGGUAGGGAUACCCGCUGAACUUAAGCAUAUCAAUAAGCGGAGGA
rnacentral:misc_RNA from 1 species